CAGUCGCCGCGGUAAUACGUAGGGUGCGAGCGUUAAUCGGAAUUGCUGGGCGUAAAGCGUGCGCAGGCGGUUAUGUAAGACAGUUGUGAAAUCCCCGGGCUCAACCUGGGAACUGCAUCUGUGACUGCAUAGCUAGAGUACGGUAGAGGGGGAUGGAAUUCCGCGUGUAGCAGUGAAAUGCGUAGAUAUGCGGAGGAACACCGAUGGCGAAGGCAAUCCCCUGGACCUGUACUGACGCUCAUGCACGAAAGCGUGGGGAGCAAACAGGAUUAGAUACCCCGGUAGUCCCUGUCUCUUAUAA
rnacentral:rRNA from 1 species